UCGACUUGUGGACAUUGUCCCACUUCGCAGUGUCACGACUGGUUCAGGGAUUUAAACUUCGUUGGUUUCGUGCUUACUGUUGUGUUUCCAACUUUUUGCAUUAAAAACCAUUUUCGUCACCAACAUUCUCUGCUCACGGAGGGUAGUGUAGGGAACCAUUGAGAAUUGUUUGUAUUUCCGAGGCAGUGCUUAUGACUGUUAGUAACACUGACAGCGGAGAGAGCUGUACUUAGGUACAGUCCUACAUUGUUAACGGCGUCGUCUGACCGAGCCACCUUCUUCAUACAAGAGAAGAGCACUCCUACAAACGAGGGGCGGAGACUUCGCUGACAGUUGAGCGAACGGCAAAGAUAAAAGAGCAGGACUCCUGACCGCAUGGUCAAGCAGGGCAGAUGUAGGCAGAGAGGCAGAACUGUGGACAUUCUGUAACCAGAGCCGGGAUCCAUUCUCCAGAAGACAACUACUUAGCCGGCAUGAGCAAGACAGCUAUGUCAACGCCACUUUAAGCGGACCUCACCCAUUUUCCCACAGUUAUCACAGUCUCCCUGGCAGACGACAGCGAGGAAUAAAAACUAGUCCACGAGUACACCAAACAAAGCUUUGUCCAAGGGAAUAAAAAUUACAGCAAGGGAGACAUUCUUCGUGAAUUUUCAACUCGAACCCAAGUAAAGGAGGCUCCACGAACUUCUCUCCUAUAUUCUGACAUCACUUUGCAGACUGCCUGGACAUAGCAACAAAUAGGGUAAAAAAUAAAACAAAAACAAAAGAAGAAGAUAUAUAGACUAGCUUCCGGUGACUGUUUUCACGCAGGUGUAAGAAGCAAAGGACAGAGCAUCGACAAGCAGAUCAAGGUUGGAGCCAACUUUUGGUUGUACACAGCAGGCUGUUUUCGAGCAUCCACGGCUGAUUGCUUUUGGACCCUUUGGCCUGAUUUUCGUCUUCCUCGUCUGAACCAAACGACAAAGAAAAAAAAAGUUAUCUAUUCGCUUUUAACAUUCUUCCCAGACUACAAGACCACUUCUGUGACUGGGUCACCGCUCCGAAAUUCAGAUCGUCCUAAGGAAGUUUACCUUCACCCCUGUAACCUUUACUCCUGACCUUUACCUUCUCAUCCCUCUUCGAAAGCAGCGCCAUGCUGAAGGUCGUCGUCGCCGCGGCAGUUGCUGUCGUCGUACUGACGUCACUGACGGUGUACACGCCAGUGAUGGGACGCCACGUGUUCACCAAGAGCGACUUGUGCCCCACCUGCAACGUCAGCCACCUGACGGUGGACACCUUCAAACAGCGCUACCUGGGCGCGUGCCUGGUGUGCGGCGAGUUCUACGGCUCGGAGAUCGAGCACUGCUGCAUGUGCCACGAGCGCUGGUUCGACGACUGCUACAUCGCCACCGCCGGCGAUCUCGUCCUUCCCGCCGAAGUCGAGAAGCUGGACAUUUGAGGAAUCCUUUUGUCAGACCUUCUCCCCUUCCUUGAAGGCUCAGCCGAGUGCAGCAUUAUUGUUAACGAGGGGCCGUGGUUCUGAAGAGGUUAGAAACCAAGAGACUGGAUGCGUUGAAAGGUUCUCUUAACUGGACAACGAGGUUGAUUGAUAAUCUAGAGGUCCUUUGUCUCGUGUAAUGUCCACCGUUACGGUUGUGUUUGGACUCUAGGUAUUGGGCAGAAGUAAAGCAGUCUUUCAGGUUGUUAAACUUAAAAAAUAUGAAUAAUUCAUUUUAAGAAAGCAUCUUUGUCCUUUUGAUCGAUUGCUCAUCCCUGGAGUUAGUUUCCCUAUAUAUCUUCAGUAACGUCUAACAAUGGAAGAAUAAGCACGACCAAGUGAAAGCAAAAGCGACAACCAAAAAAAA